CAGACGAUGCGUCAUGCAUAUCAAUAAGCGGAGGAAAAGAAACUAACAAGGAUUCCCCUAGUAACGGCGAGUGAAGCGGGAAGAGCUCAGAUUUGAAAUCUUAAAGGGUUUCCCUUUACGAAUUGUAGUUUAAAGAAGUGUUUUCUGUUGAGGUUUUGGUAAAAGUUCUUUGAAAUAGGACAUCAUAGAGGGUGAGAAUCCCGUAUUUGACCUUUACUUUCAACUUUGUGAUACACUUUCAAAGAGUCGGAUUGUUUGGGAAUGCAGUCCAAAAUGGGUGGUAAAUUUCAUCUAAAGCUAAAUAUUGGCGAGAGACCGAUAGCGAACAAGUACCGUGAGGGAAAGAUGAAAAGAACUUUGAAAAGAGAGUUAAACAGUACGUGAAAUUGUCAAAAGGGAAGCGUUUGACACCAGUGUUGUUUUUCUGAAAAUCAAUUAAAGAACUGUUUAUGCUAAGUUGUUUAGACUUUAUCAGCUAACUGUUUAGUUUUGAGCUUUUCUUUAAUGCACUUUUCAGUUAACAAGUCAACAUCAAUUUCUUUUGCUGUAAAAAAGCUUGAGGAAGGUGGCUUGAGAUUCGUCUUAAGUGUUUAUAGCCUCUUGCCUAUGCAGUCGGAGAGAUUGAGGUCUGCAGCGUAGAUCCUUCGGGGCUAAAUGCAUUUGUGCUAAGUUAUAGCAUUUUAUAGACAACUUGUUGACUAUGAUUUGUCUUGUAGCUUACUCGCUUAUGUUAUUUUACCUACGCUUAGGAUGUUGAGCGCAUGUCUCUCUCU
rnacentral:rRNA from 1 species